UGAGAUCGUAUUUUCGUGAAUCAUGCUUACCCUGGUAGAAUGGGCAUACUUCUGGGUUCAGAUUGGGUUGAGGCUGAGAAUCUGCGACUCAGGGGACAGCUUUAUGUUUUUCUUUUAUUUCACCAAUCCCAUAUGGCAAGGGGAAUAUCAGCGAAUUGUGGUACAAUGAAACCAUGACAACCAAGGUUGCCCAACAAUCGCAUCAUAAGGUGAAGAGAAGUCGAUUACCACAAAGUUCACCAUAGUGCUUAUUUGUCUGGGAGAACUAAGAGUACUCCAUUCGGGUCGAAGAGAG
rnacentral:lncRNA from 1 species